rnacentral:rRNA from 1 species
GGAUUUGAUCCUGGUCCAGGAUGAACGCUGGCGGCGUGCCUUAGGCAUGCAAGUAGAACGGGAGUAGCAAUACUCUAGUUGCGAACGGCUGAGUAUAAGGUAAGAAUCUACCUCUUGGUGGGGAAUACCUCGUCGAAAGACGAGCUAAUACCGCAUAAGAUCGCAAGAUGAAAGCACUUAACUGUGCACCGAGAGAUGAGCUUACCCCCCACCAGCUUGUUGGUAGGGUAAUGGCCUACCAAGGCUAAGACGGGUAGGGGAUGUGAGAGCGUGACCCCCCAGAAUGGGACUGAGACACGGCCCAUACACCUACGGGUGGCAGCAACCGGGAAUCGUGCGCAAUGGACGAAAGUCUGACGCCGCGACGCCGCGUGUGGGAUGAAGGCCUUCGGGUUGUAAACCACUUUUAACGUAAAGCACUGCUUUACGUAGAAUAAGCACCUGCUAACUCUGUGCCAGCAGCCGCGGUAAUACAGAGGGUGCAAGCGUUAUCCGGAUUUAUUGGGCGUAAAGCGUUUCGUAGGCGACCCAGAAAGUUAAACUUCAAAGCCCAAGGCUUAACCUUGGAAAGGGGUUUAAUACUACUGGGUUUGAAAGGUCUCGGGGUUACUGGAACUCUCGGUGUAGGAGUGAAAUCCGUAGAUAUCGGGAGGAACACCAGUGGCGAAGGCAAGUAACUAGGGAAUCUUUGACGCUGAGGAACGACAGCUAGGGGAGCGAAAGGGAUUAGAGACCCCUGUAGUCCUAGCCGUAAACUAUGCUCGCUAGGGAUUGGUACUUAGUAUCAGUUCCGUAAGCUAACGCGUUAAGCGAGCCGCCUGGGGAGUACGAGCGCAAGCUUAAAACUCAAAGGAAUUGACGGGGACCCGCACAACCAGUGGAGCAUGU